UUGAAUACCGGAUAAACUGCAUUCAAAAACACAAAAUUUAUUAUAGUACGUUUUGCGUCGGGUCAGUAUACGAGUAUUUAACAAAGCGAAACCUGUUCAAAUGUGAUCUGCGCAGUGACUUGCCAAGACUACAGGUGUAAAGUUGUUUUAACAACAUAAGUUCAAUAUUGGAGAAAUAAAAUUAUGUUUGCUCUACAAAAAUGUUUGCUAAGUAUACUGAUGAUCGUCUGUAUUCUUCUAUUGGUGGAGUCAGCAACCCGAGUAGUCGGCUCAGAUAAGUGUCCUGAAGGCCAAAUACUUGUAAAAAUAGGUGAUAUCCGAAAAUGCGUCCCACAAGCAUCAAAAUCAUAACACAAGGACAAUAUAUUGUAAACAAUAACAGUGCAGAUAUUGUUAAUAUAGCCAAAAAGCAAUCGUAA